CCCGCGGGGCCCCCCCCCCCCCCGGGGUCUCCAGGGGCAGAAGGGCGUCGCCUGGCGUUCGGGUUCACUCAAGUGGUAACGGAACCAGCCCCCCACGCACACACAGUUAGCUCCCAGCCACUGGGAAAUACAGUGGAGGCUCCUCGGAGGCUUGGCGGCGACCUGACCCAGCACCCCUCCCAGGGAUACCAGGGGUGAACCUUGAAAACAUGAUGCUCAGUGGAAGGAGCCAGUCAUAAAAGAUGGCACAUCAUAUGACCCGUCUACACAAAAUACCAGUAGAGGCAGAAAGGACAGCCUGGAAGUUUGGAAAUUCAGAGGCCAGGAAUUUCGGAUGGGAAUCCAGAGCCAGACGCUAGUCCGGAUGAGAGAAAGACUUGUGAAUUCUGAAAUCGUAACCCUUCAGAAAAAACAACUUGAAAAGAUCAAUUUGUCACAGGAUCAUGAUGAGACUGUUUCCAAAAGUCCAUAAUCAAAAAAGAUUUUCCACAUCUCAAGGGUUUGGGCAACGCAGCCAAGGACACUGUCUUUCCAGGCUAGAGACGCAGCAGCAGUGAGACAGGUUGCGUGACGUGAGGCACACGGUGGAAGGAUUGCUCCGCCAAAGCCCAGCUACUUGGAGUAGAAGCAAGCAGGCCUCAGCGACAUGGCCUCGUGUCCUUCCAUUGGCUGUGGGGCAGAGGAGGCAGGGCAAGUGCACGGGGACACUGGGGCGCCGAGGCUGCCUGGGGGGACAGCNNNNNNNNNGGGGGGCCCAGGCGGCAGGUCUUCGGUUUAGUUGGACCAAUGCCGGUUCUCUGGGCCAAGCUGCUGGGGGGUCUCUACCAACUGUGCCAGCUGAGUCGCAGUCGUGCCCUUUGUGCAUCAUGGGCCUGAGGCCUGGGCGUGUGCACCGCGGGAGGAGUGGGCCCCUGGUCGCUGUGGCUCGAGACGGGCACCAGGCAGGGCUGACCCUUCCCGGCAGGUGAG
rnacentral:lncRNA from 1 species